AUAAUCAACGUUGGCAUAAUUAACACCCAGUUAACCCAUCGAUUAUGACUGGGAUUCAUUACACGUGGAUUUUAUACUAAAUAUCUUUGACUUCUCGAAAUACAUAUCGAGUUUUUAAUACUGUUUAGUCGAUUACUACACCGAAAAUGACUGUCAAAUUGUGAUUGCAAAUACACUAAAGCAUGCACCUGGAUAAAAAAAGGACAAAAGAUGUCAUUUGUUCGAAGAGUCGUUUCUAUAAGAGGAGGAACAAGAAGUUUAAUUUAUAAAAAUUCUUCCAAAAUUAUCGAAAAUAUAUAUUUUU